UACAGAGGGGGCGAGCGUUGUUCGGAAUUACUGGGCGUAAAGGGCGCGUAGGCGGCCUUCUAAGUCAGACGUGAAAUCCCCCGGCUUAACCUGGGAACUGCGUCUGAUACUGGAGGGCUUGAGUGCGGGAGAGGGAUGUGGAAUUCCAGGUGUAGCGGUGAAAUGCGUAGAUAUCUGGAGGAACACCGGUGGCGAAGGCGGGUCUCUGGGCCGAUACUGACGCUGAGGAGCGAAAGCGUGGGGAGCGAACAGG
rnacentral:rRNA from 1 species